rnacentral:rRNA from 1 species
ACUCAAAUGAAUUGACGGGGGCUCACACAAGCGGUGGAGCAUGUGGCUCAAUUCGAAGCAACGCGAAGAACCUUAUCCUGGGCUUGACAUGUAUGGAUUAGUUGGAUGAAAGUUCAAUGACGCUCGCAAGAGUGGAACAUACACAGGUGCUGCAUGGCUGUCGUCAGCUCGUGCUGUGAAGUGUCGGGUUAAGUCCCAUAACGAGCGAAACCCUUAUCGUUAGUUGCUAACAGGUAAUGCUGAGCACUCUAACGAGACUGCCGGUGUUAAACCGGAGGAAGGCGGGGAUGACGUCAAGUCCUCAUGGCCUUUAUGCCCAGGGCUGCACACGUGCUACAAUGCCGAUGACAAACCGAAGCAAGACCGCAAGGUGGAGCAAAUCGGAGAAAAAUCGGCCCAGUUCAGAUUGAGGGCUGCAACUCGCCCUCAUGAAGUUGGAAUCGCUAGUAAUCGCGGAUCAGCUAUGCCGCGGUGAAUGUGUUCCUGAGCCUUGUACACACCGCCCGU